ACUACGGGUGGCAGCAGUGGGGAAUAUUGGGCAAUGGGCGCAAGCCUGACCCAGCAACGCCGCGUGAAGGAAGAAGGCUUUCGGGUUGUAAACUUCAUUUCUCAGGGACGAAGCAAGUGACGGUACCUGAGGAAUAAGCCACGGCUAACUACGUGCCAGCAGCCGCGGUAAUACGUAGGUGGCAAGCGUUAUCCGGAUUUACUGGGUGUAAAGGGCGUGUAGGCGGGGACGCAAGUCAGAUGUGAAAACCACGGGCUCAACCUGUGGCCUGCAUUUGAAACUGUGUUUCUUGAGUACUGGAGAGGCAGACGGAAUUCCUAGUGUAGCGGUGAAAUGCGUAGAUAUUAGGAGGAACACCAGUGGCGAAGGCGGUCUGCUGGACAGCAACUGACGCUGAGGCGCGAAAGCGUGGGGAGCAAACAGGAUUAGAUACCCUUGUAGUC
rnacentral:rRNA from 1 species